rnacentral:rRNA from 1 species
UACGAAGGGGGCGAGCGUUGUUCGGAAUCACUGGGCGUAAAGGGCGCGUAGGCGGCCCUCUUUGUCGCGUGUGAAAGCCCCGGGCUCAACCUGGGAACGGCGCGCGAAAACGGGGGGGGCUGGAGUUCGGGAGAGGAGAGUGGAAUUCCCAGUGUAGAGGUGAAAUUCGUAGAUAUUGGGAAGAACACCGGGUGGCGAAAGGCGGCGUCUACUGG